UGGGGAAUAUUGCGCAAUGGGGGAAACCCUGACGCAGCGACGCCGCGUGAGCGAAGAAGGCCUUAGGGUUGUAAAGCUCUGUUUUAGGGGACGAAUGUUCAUAGGAGUAAUAUGCCUGUGAAAUGACGGUACCCUAAGAGGAAGCCCCGGCUAACUACGUGCCAGCAGCCGCGGUAAGACGUAGGGGCGAGCGUUGUCCGGAAUUACUGGGCGUAAAGAGCACGUAGGCGGGAACCUAAGUCAGGUGUGAAAGACCGUGGCUCAACCACGGGGUGGCAUUUGAAACUGGGUUUCUUGAGGGCAGGAGAGGAAAGCAGAAUUCCUGGUGUAGCGGUGAAAUGCGUAGAAAUCAGGAGGAAUACCAGUGGCGAAGGCGGCUUUCUGGACUGACCCUGACGCUGAGGUGCGAAAGCGUGGGUAGCAAACAGGAUU
rnacentral:rRNA from 1 species